UUGAGCCGUACGAGAUGAAAUUCUCAUAUACAGUUCUCGGAGGGGGGUUUGGGUUAGUUACCUAUCUCAAU
rfam:Oryza sativa Japonica Group DNA, chromosome 4, cultivar: Nipponbare, complete sequence.